rnacentral:sRNA from 1 species
UAAGGUUCAGUUUGGCUUGUGCCGGCGGA